UGGAAGCAUGGGCAGCAAAAUGGAGAAUGAGAUUCAACACAGACAAGUGUAAGAUCAGGCUCCAGUCUGCCAGGACUCACGUGCAAUCUGGUCCCAUCCUGCCUGGGAGAAACAGCGUGACAAUGGGCCUGAUUCAGAUUUGGAAGCAAGGCAGAAAAGGAGCUUCAGAGGCCCUCAGUCACAGUUGGAGCCCAAAUUUCGUUGCUAAGGAACCUGUACCACACUAACGCCUACUGCCCUGGAGUGCCACAGAGUUUAAUGAGAUUUGGAAGGGUCUCAUACUUAAGCUGCUGCGGGAGGCCGGUGAGAGAACUCAAUCCCCAGCGUCUGGUCUCCAGGCAACGCAGCACGCUCCCCUGGAACCUCCCGGCGCUGUGCGGAGUGACGUCAUCGGCAAGCGCCCACCGUGGAUGGACUCCAUGCGGGACGCCGCCGUACACCGGCUUCUCUCAGCAGCGGGGGGCU